AUUUAUGCAAAAAUUAGCUAGUCUGAAUUCUGAAAAUUAAUAAUUGCGCAUAUUUUAUUUAUUAUUAUUAUUAUUAUUGUUGUUUGUUCGACCGGCAGACUCAAAACCAGAGUUCAGAGAAGUUUGUAUUAAUUUGCAAUACACAGAUUUCAUCAUGUCCAGUUACAAGAUGUCAUUUUGUGUGAAAUGUGGGCAAAAAACUGGAUGGAUAAGUCCAGUGGUAUUAAAAAUGACGAGAAACAGAGUACCAGGAUUACGCGGAAAGUGUUGCAAAUGCAAAUGUAAUAAGUCUACAUUUGUAUGUUUGGCUUAUUAUAAGAAAGUAAUGCAAAAGUGUCGGCGCAGUGGAUCACGCAAAACCCGUUAAUGUUGGGAAACAAACGCAUAUCCGAGUAAGAAAAUUAUUUUAAUGCACUUCAAAAUAUUUCAAAUGGAUUAGUAUAAGAU